UUCUUUCUACUGGACAGCAGGGCGGGAGAGGUAGAAGGAUGGAUCCCCAGCCCUCCCGCCCGGCCCCUCCUCGGCACCCCUUCAGCAGUGAUGGAGGCGAGGACGGGACUCUGAUAAGAUACUUGAACAUGCUAUAAAGCACAUACAACCAGCGCUCUUCAUUUCAGAAAGAAGGUCCCGGGCCCAUAACUUCAGGGACAUCAGACCCGGUUGCUGAACCACCCGAUGCCGACUUUGGCCGUGAAUUUGCCGAAGAAAAGAAACGCAAGACCUACACCCCGGACUUCGAGCCCCGCAUAUAAAAUCUUCUCCGAUUCCCCAAGGAGGGGGCACAGUUCUUGAGGCGUUAGCCUACUGUGUCUUCCCUUUGCCUGGCAAAGAAAAUAAAAAGCCUCUCUAUUUCUCAUCUUCCAAUUCUCUGUCUCCGUAUU